GAUGAAGGAACGCAGCGAAAUGCGAUAAGUAGUGUGAAUUGCAGAAUUCAGUGAAUCAUCGAAUCUUUGAACGCACAUUGCGCCUCCUGGUAUUCCGGGAGGCAUGCCUGUUCGAGCGUCAUUAAAAUCACUCAAGCUUAGGUUUACCUAUUGCUUGGUCUUGGAGAUGGAAGCCAAUUUAUUGGAAUCCUCUUCGAAAUUCAAUGGCGAAGACCCUUGCUCUCCCAAGUGUAGUAAUAACUUAUGUCACUGAAGGAAGCGAGAAAUCUUCUGCCGUAACCCCCAUAUUUUCUAUGAUUGACCUCGGAUCAGGUAGGGAUACCCGCUGAACUUAAGCAUAUCAAUAAGCGGAGGA
rnacentral:misc_RNA from 1 species